rnacentral:lncRNA from 1 species
AGCUCCUUGAAGCCUCUCCAGAAGCUAAGCUGAUAUCGGUGCCAUGCUUCCUGUAAAGCCUGCAGAAAAAGACAGAGCUGCUUAACGAAGAAGGCAAAGGCCAGGAGUGCUAACACUGACUCUCUCAAAGUUAUAGAAGUAAUCACAGAAGAUCAAAGCCAGCAUCAGCCAGCCCAGGACUUCUGAACUUCUGGCACAUAAAUGACAGUCUCCUAGGAAAUAGACCGCAUAUUGGCCUUAAGGAGGUAUGUCAACUUGUAAGUCAAAAUAAUCAAGACCAUAACUCUCAUAGUACCCAACACAAUAACUGCCCUGUAAUACAUUCCCAAUAAGUAUUUGCUGAAUUUAAUUGAAGCAAAUUAAUAGAAGAAGACAUAUUGUGCAUAGUUCCUAUAAUUAUAUACAAACUGAGGCCCAGAACUGAACCAUUAGCCAUGGUAUUGGUAUCACUGUCAACUCAGACUCCCAGGCAACAGUGUAAAUGGAAUUGGAACACAGGGACCCUCUC